AGCGUUAUCCGGAUUUAUUGGGUGUAAAGGGUGCGUAGACGGGAAAAUAAGUUAGUUGUGAAAUCCCUCGGCUUAACUGAGGAACUGCAACUAAAACUGUUUUUCUUGAGUACUGGAGAGGAAAGUGGAAUUCCUAGUGUAGCGGUGAAAUGCGUAGAUAUUAGGAGGAACACCAGUGGCGAAGGCGACUUACUGGACUGAAACUGACGUUGAGGCACGAAAGUGUGGGGAGCAAACAGGAUUAGAUACCCUGGUAGUCCACACCGUAAACGAUGGAUACUAGGUGUAGGAGAUAUUAAGUCUUCUGUGCCGUCGCAAACGCAGUAAGUAUCCCACCUGGGGAGUACGGCCGCAAGGUUGAAACUCAAAGGAAUUGACGGGGGCCCGCACAAGCAGUGGAGUAUGUGGUUUAAUUCGACGCAACGCGAAGAACCUUACCAAGUCUUGACAUCCCUUGACGAUGCUGGAAACAGUAUUUCUCUUCGGAGCAAGGAGACAGGUGGUGCAUGGUUGUCGUCAGCUCGUGUCGUGAGAUGUUGGGUUAAGUCCCGCAACGAGCGCAACCCCUGUUUCUAGUUGCCAGCACGUCAAGGUGGGAACUCUAGAAAGACUGCCGUAGAUAAUACGGAGGAAGGUGGGGAUGACGUCAAAUCAUCAUGCCCUUUAUGUCCUGGGCUACACACGUACUACAAUGGCUGUAACAGAGGGAAGCAAGCUAGUGAUAGCAAGCGAAACCCAAAAAGCAGUCACAGUUCGGAUUGAAGGCUGAAACUCGCCUUCAUGAAGCCGGAAUUGCUAGUAAUGGCAGGUCAGCAUACUGCCGUGAAUACGUUCCCGGGCCUUGUACACACCGCCCGUCACACCAUGAGAGUUGGGAAUACCCGAAGCCUGUGAGCCAACUAUUUAUAGAGGCAGCAGUCGAAGGUAGAAUCAAUGAUUGGGGUGAAGUCGUAACAAGGUAGCCGUAUCGGAAGGUGCGGCUG
rnacentral:rRNA from 1 species